UAACUAUGGCCCAUAACCUUGCUAACAUGAGCUAAUUUCUGUUCAUUGACCAACUCCUAAUUUUAGGAACAAGAGCAACCAAGCAAUGACAACUUUUCAUCAACUCCUGGGUUUGACGCAUGGAAAGCACAGACUUCUGUUGGUACACCUAGUGCAAAACCUGUGGUGCAAAACGAGGAGUUGGACCAAGACAUCCCACCACGGAAGCCUGUAUUCAAUAAUGAUUACAUAUUGACAGAUGAAGACUAGGAGGCUGCACUUUUCAUCCGAGGGAGUCACGACCUUGUUGAGGUAGUUCACAUCAAAGACAUUGUGCUAACAGUUCAUCAACUCAAGCCAAAUGUUAGCAAACUAUUCUUCGUCGAUGACGUUAUUAAUGCAUAUGCACACAUUAGCAAUGUUGCAACUGAUGCUACAUCAUUCAUUUCCACCGUAGAAAGUAGAAGAUUGCUAGGCGAAUUUGGGGGUAUUCCAAUGGGAUGCAAAAGCCCACAUGUUGCUAAUGUAGCAACGAAAUUUGUAGGAUGCAAAAUGGUACGUGUCCCAAUGAAUGUGCACAGCAUGCACUGGUUAUUACUCGUGUUUAAUUUAGACAAAGAAGAGAUCCAGGUCCUAAACUCCAUCCAAGCAUAUCGUGACAUUGCCAAUGAAACUGCACUGGU